ACGUCCCACUCCCAAAACAGCCCACUUCCAACCCUGACUCUCCAAAAUGCAAACACGCGCAGCACUCCCAUCAGGCCAUCACCCUUCCUCUCAUCGUCAUUGAGCUCCUCCUUCACUUCCGUCCCGCCACCGGCAAGCAACCGCCGCCGUCGCAACUUGGAGCUUUGAAGCCACUGUCGCAACGUCGUUCUCCUCCAUCGUGCAGCCACGCUUGAGCUUCGAAACCACCGUCGCCGGCCUCGCCUCCUGCCUCCGUUGCGCAGCCACUGUCUUGCCGGCGCCACUGUCUAGGGUUGCAAAAGCUUUCCUUACUAAACUUGGAAGGGUGCCUUGUAACAGCUGCAUGCUUGGAUUCUCUUGCAGGUUUAAUUGCUUGAUAUACUUUUAUGCUUAUUAUGUUGCUGAUCUAGAAAAUUGGUCGCUUUAUUAUAUUUCCUAGAAACAAUACAACUAUACAACUACUAAACCUAUAAACCAACCAACAUAUUUAAGGAUAAGAAGAGAAAAAGAUGAUACUUUUAUUUACAAAAUAAAUAACUUGAGUGGUUUAUACACUCUGCUGUACAAAUGUUAUCCUCAAUUAUCAAUACAACCUAAGAUAUUAUCAUAUUGCAAGCUCAAAAUUGCUUCACCAAAAUUAAUAAUGAAUGAAAGAAUGAUUAGAGAGAACUCAAUAAAGGCAACCUCAAGCAGGAAGAUCAUUCUAACAUUACAAUGCACCCUUGAAUUCUUCCAAUUUGCCCUCGAACUACAGGAAGAUCAAAUAGUUCUAGCAGCAGUCCCACUGCUUCCCUCCUCUCUUCUGCAUCUCUUGUUAGAGACUUCACCACUGGUGAUAAAAACUCAGUUUCUGCCAUCUUCUCCUGCACAGUACUAUUACAAAAGAUAACUAAGUAAUUAACAACAACAAAUACAGUCAAUUUCACAAGAAAUAUUGCCUUAUUUUCAGAAUUCUACCUUUGUCUCAUCUUUGCCCGAAGCCAUAUUUCCUAACAAUUGAAUGAUGUUAAGCUUCUCUUUUCCAUAAUCAUAUUCAUAGAAAACUGGAUUUUUUGUAGGAAAAAAGAAAAGAAAAGAAUAAUCAGUUACACAAGUAGUAAACCGUAACUGGGAAACACAUGAUAAAGGAAUUAACUUUAUAAGAAACUAAUGGGAAAUUGAGAGCAAAAAAGGGAAAAUCAAUCACACAUAGAAAUUCAAGAAAUUCAGAAGGAAAUUGAAUUGAACCUGUUGAGAAAAUGCAAGGGAUGACUAAGAAAACUGUGAAAACACCUAGAAGUUGAGCUUAGACUUCCACAUGUUUAUUAUAAUUUUUUUAAGUAUGAAAAACUGUUUUAACACUCUUAUGCACUAAUAGCUCUUAGGUUUCAUAGAAUUUGAUUGACCAAUAAUUUUAAUAAAAAAAAAAGUUUAGUUCAUUUUGCCUAUUCCAUUCUCCUAGCAUUUAGUUAGUACCUAACAUGUUAAAAUUUUAAGUUCAGUCAUGGAGAAUGAUGGCAAAGAGUCAUAUAAGGAUGGUGAUCAAUCUGAAGAUUUAAGUGUUGAGUAUGAGUACCUUGGUUAUUCUUAUUCUCAAUGAUAGGUUAAUGGGGCUGCUGAUCGUCUUCUACGAUCCCUUCUUGGAAAUCAGGUUCAUUAUUAUCCAAUAGAUCAGUACAGUUAGAAAUUGUUGUGCUAUGCGUAAUUUGAGAGACUAAUACGUUGCUGGUUUCUCCUUGAAGUUCUCAUCAUGAAUCCUUGAAAGCUCAGAAAGCAAUUAAUGAGCUUUUUGUAAAGUACAACAUCCAAUUUUCUGGAGUAUCUAAAAGCUUUUUUAGGAUAUCAGACAAAGACAACCAUACUUGUGGACUGGGAUUUUCAGAUUUGGUUUCUCAGAUUGGCUCUAUGAGUUUUGAUUCCACUGGCUUGCAUUGGCGGUAUAAUUUAAUGGCUAACAGAGUUUUGCUCUUGCUAGCUUUGGCUUCUCGGAACCACCCAAAUUCAUCAACUAGAAUCCUGAGUGAAACAACUGGCCACUUUUUGAAGAAUUUGAAAAGUCAACUUCCUCAGACAAGGAUACUUGCAAUUUCGGCUUUGAAUACACCUUAAAGAAAUCACCGUACAAGCUGUCACCUGGUGAGAAAUCUGCUGUACUCGAGGAUUUGCAAGGCAAUGCCAAGUCAUCCCUUGAAGAAGCUUUAACUCGCACCUUUAAUGGCUGAUAUGGCUAGAACAAUUUUGAGAGAUUCUGACAAACACCAAAAAAAAGUGUGUUGCAUGUCAGUGGUUUUUCUUUUUCUUUUUCCCCAACCUUGUUUUUGUUUUAGUCUAUUCUUUACAGUUCAUUUUUGGUGCUUGACCCUGGUGCCAUUUAAUUCUCUGGGGCCAGUCCCUUGUACUUUUAGGUAACAAAUAAUGGGAAAAAUUUUCCUUCUUUGUAUGCUACCAUUUUUGUUGUAUGGAAUACAAUUUUUUUUCUCCU